AUACCUUAUGGAUUUUACCCCUUCAGGUGGAUCAACUAAUGUCCAUACAUCGUUGAUCUUCAUAAACUUCAUUUCAGAUUUCAUAGCUUCAAGCUAUUUCUCAAAGUCAGACCUCUGCAUCGCAUCCAUAUAGAUAAUUGGAUCCUUAUUACUCUCAUCGAGCUCAACAGGAUCUCCAAUCCAGACAAAGAAACCUAAGUAUCUGUGUGACUAACAUGGUACUCUACC
rnacentral:lncRNA from 1 species